CAACAGUCGGCGAAAGGCCGAAGCCUCUGGACUGCGAGGUGCAGAAUGUCAUAGCCUUCCACUCAGUGAUGGUAUCGGGGACUGUGACCUGGACCACCUUGUUUCCUGAGUUACUGUGGACACAACAAGAACCCAAGUGAGACUCCACCGCAUCACUUACCCGACCGGAAACAGUUCCCACAGCCAGGUCUCGGGGAAGUACUGGCGGACCUGGGAGCCCUCUGUCUGCGGCGAUGGCGACGCGAACCCAGUCUUUGGGGCAAUACCGCCACCUGCUGACGAGUCUGAGAAGAAACAUUUGGAAACCGGAAAGCUGGCAUUGUGAGACUGCUAAGUAAGAAACUCAGAGCAAGCCGGAGAACUCACACAAAGCAAAGGACCGCCGAGGAGAGGCGAGAAGCGUCAGGGCAUCCACCUGGAAGAAACUGAACAGGUCCGCGCCUUCAGAGUGCCAGGGUCUCCAGAUGAUGGAAUGCCUGCUCAGUCCCCCUCUGGGCACAGGAUCGAUGAGGGGUCGAGGAAAGUCCCAUGGGCCAAAUGCGGGGCACUCAUCAUACUCAGCCACUU